rnacentral:misc_RNA from 1 species
GUAGGUGAACCUGCGGAAGGAUCAUUACAGUAUUCUUUUUGCCAGCGCUUAAUUGCGCGGCGAAAAAACCUUACACACAGUGUUUUUUGUUAUUACAAGAACUUUUGCUUUGGUCUGGACUAGAAAUAGUUUGGGCCAGAGGUUUACUGAACUAAACUUCAAUAUUUAUAUUGAAUUGUUAUUUAUUUAAUUGUCAAUUUGUUGAUUAAAUUCAAAAAAUCUUCAAAACUUUCAACAACGGAUCUCUUGG